UGCAGGUAGCACCUCACCCCC
rnacentral:piRNA from 1 species